UUGUAAUAUUUGAUACCAGAUGUGCAAAUGUUUCACACUUUCUGCAAUUGGUGGUAAGGUUGUGAAACUGUAAGCCCGCCUGAGCAGAAGAGGCAAAGGGCAGAGUAGGAGAGUUUCAGGAGGUAAAGUCAGAAGCCGACGGGACUGCGGGUUGACUUUGACUGAAGGCAGCAGGAUUGCUCAAGAGCAGAAUCCGACAAACACCAAGAGAAAAAGGAAACGUUUCAGCAGAGUCAGCCACCCCCAGCAUCUUUCUUCAAAACCCAACAAAGAAAUCCCCUCUGCUGGGUCGUGAUGAAUUGCAGACAGACAUUCCCAGCCAAUUCUAAUCCUACAAGGCCCUCUUGGCUCCCCUUAUCCUCCAGGGACCUGGAAGUAAAGGAUGAGAAGAGUUAGAAUAAUUUAAAAGGCAGAAUUAUCCACGGACUUGUGCACACAUAUCUUUGAGACUUACAGUCAUCGCUACGUUUGCACAGAUUGGCUGCAGCACUACUUCAUGGUGGACUAAUGUUUUAGGUUGAUUUAUUGGAACAGAUUGGUUCUUCAGUACCAAUUAUGGUCUAAUUCUCAAUUUGAGAAUAAUCCUGCCACCCGUAACUGGCAAUGUAGAAACUCUCAUUGGCUCCCUGGCUGCUUCCUCUUAGGAUCUGCAAGUGAAAAGAAUCAAAUUUUCUGACGGCCAGAAUUUCCACUUUAUGUUUCUUAAUAUCAUUUUUUUUCCCGUUAGACUUCUAUAAAAGAAGUCUGACACAGCCUGGGGCUUGGAGACACAAUGCGCAUACAAAUAUCACUUCUAACCAUUCCUGCCAUUUGUCCCUACAUGCACUCUGUUCAAAGAGUCGGCCUCAAGUGCAGUUCUGAGACUGGAACAACAAGCCUUUUCUCAGAAUCCGUUGGCAGAGAAGCUGAGGUAGCGCCAGGAAGAAGUGCGCCAAACCCAAUUACUCCUCCAAGAGUCGAGCAUCCUGGACAGAACGCUACAAUGUCCCAUCUCCUUCUUGAUGCUGUGAUUUGUCACACACUAAACAGAAGAGGAGACAGUAAGCGUUUACCACUCCCCUGGGCAAAGUUCUGUAGAUAACCAGCAGAUGCAAUUUGCUUUCAUAGCUUUCUUAAGUGUGGCCUUGAAAAGCCUCUGGCAGUAUUACAGCCAGGGACCCCCAGCACUGGGCACUCAGAAGGAUCUUAGGGAGUGCAGGACACAAUUGGUGUGUUAGGGUUACACACUCAACCCUAGUUCCAGAAAAAGCAAAGAAAAGAAUGACAACUGAUCACCAUGCUUCUGAUUCAACCCUUUCUUUUGAAAGAAUGGCAAGUAUGGGAUGGAAAGACUAAGCUUCAGAUUAUUUUCUUCUUAUCUUCUCCGUUCACCAUCCAAAUACAGAGAUGACUGUAAUGGAUGAUUAGGGUUUGUGAAAACAGUGGCUAAUGAAACCCCUUGAAAUAAAGAACAGAAAGCCACUUAGUUUUCAUCCCAAUGUUACUUUACGUAUUCAACACGCAUUUUUGUGCCAAGUAGAUGCUUGAGAUUAUUCUAGGUACGGGAAAGGUGAUCUAAGUCACCAAGUAACUGGGAGACAGCCCUAACUGGACAUCUUUUGUCACCAAAUGAAGCUUUUAGUACUGGGAAUGGAUUCCAAGCAAUUGAGUUCCUGGCAAAAGGAUCCCCAAGAUGCAAGCAUUCUAAUCAAUGCUCUAACCCCCAAACAACCCAGGCUAUUGAUAAGGCUAAUAGCUGCUCUUCACAAAUUGAUGGUAAGGCCUGAUUGCGGAAGACAACACCCACACAAGCCACUGAACACAGAGAAAUCAAGCUGAUGCCUACCUUGAGCAUUCAUCCCUACCAAAUGGUCUUCAUGGAGCUGGAAGGUACACUGCAUAUUACCAAAGGAGAACUAUAAACACCAACCUAGCUACAAACUCUUUGAUCUACAGUAGUGUCCUGUCUGCAAGAUAUGCAUAUGCAAUAGUGGCACAAAGCUUAUGGGAGUAACCAACCAAUACCUGUUUGGAAUUAAGGCCCUCUCCAUGAGAUGGAUACCAUACUUGACGGUAACACUAUUCCCUCUGUCUCUUAAACUCUUUGUCUAUAUAGGUUCCAUCUCAUGGAGUGGCCUUAAGUCAAAUGCUUGGUUAGCCAAAAACCUGAAACUAGAUAGUCUAAGGAUAUAGGAAACCAAACCAAAACAAAUACUACUGUUCUGCUAAAAAUGUAAAAUAAAUGAGUCCUAACAGUAUCCUGCUGUACUCAAAGAUCAGUGUUUUGCUCAGCCAUCAUGAGAGAAACUUCCAUUUGCAGUUGAAUGGACAAAUAAAGAGAUAGACCUACCACUAGAAAGCAUGCAAAGAGUAAGAAACCGUGGAACCCUCAGACCUAAAGGUGCUUUUUCCAUCAAAUUCCUCCCCUCAGGGCUCAGGGACACGGAAAGAGUUUACGAGA